rnacentral:rRNA from 1 species
AGCUAAUAGAUACCCGGGUAGUCCACGCCCUAAACGAUGUCUACUAGUUGUUGGUGGAGUAAAAUCCAUGAGUAAACGCAGCUAAACGCGUGAAGUAGACCGCCUGGGGAGUACGGUCGCGAGAUUAAAACUCAAAGGAAUUGACGGGAGCCCGCACAAGCGGUGGAUUAUGUGGAUUAAUUCGAUGCAACGCGAAAACCUUACCUGGCCUUGACAUGCCACUAACGAAGCAGAGAUGCAUUAGGUGCCCGUAAGGGAAAGUGGACACAGGUGCUGCAUGGCUGUCGUCAGCUCGUGUCGUGAGAUGUUGGGUUAAGUCCCGCAACGAGCGCAACCCUUGCCAUUAAUUGCCAUCAUUUAGUUGGGCACUUUAAUGGGACUGCCGGUGACAAACCGGAGGAAGGUGGGGAUGACGUCAAGUCCUCAUGGCCCUUAUGGCCAGGGCUUCACACGUAAUACAAUGGUCGGUACAGAGAGUUGCCAACCCGCGAGGGGAGCUAAUCUCAGAAAGCCGAUCGUAGUCCGGAUUGUUCUCU